AGUUAAAGUAAAAGUGAGCGCCUCGGUUUAUGUGGAGACAAAUAUAAAGUUUUCUAGAAAAUCACGCUUGGAUUUAAAGGGGAAGAGAAACAUUCAUCUAGGACCAAGGAUGGGGAUUCAGUGAUGUACAUACAUAACGUAUCUGCUAGAGCUGGGCGGUUCCUGAAUCACCCGGGUUAAUGAUUCAAAUCUUUGUGCUGAAUCAGGAAUCACGAGUCCAAAAUCUCAAUUAAUCCGGAUCUUAUGAGUCCUCUGACUGGCUGCUGCUAAGUACACAAGGCGAGUGAGCAGCUCACAGGAAACACAGCGGACUCAGAUGAUUUGAACCGACUUCACACAGUCCGUGAAUCUAAGUAAUAAGUUAAAUAUUCCAAUAA